rnacentral:rRNA from 1 species
UUCCAGCUCCAGUAGCGUAUAUUAAAUUUGUUGCGGUUAAAAAGCUCGUAGUUGAAUAUAUGACUUUUAUCUUCACAGAUUUAAGUCCAAGUUUUUGUAUACUUUGAGAAAAAUAGAGCGUUACAAACAAGCAAUUGCAGUGUAUAUAUUAGCAUGGUAUGUUUUUAGAGUGUCUCUCGUAGUUAGGAGAGUAUUCUUGUUUGGAUAGGGAUAGUCGGGGGUAUUCGAAUUUAUUUGUCAGAGGUGAAAUUCUUGGAUUUUUUAAGGACGAACAAAAGCGAAAGCAUUUGCCAAGGAUGUUUUCUUUAAUCAAGAACGAAAGUUAAAGUAUCGAAGACGAUCAGAUACCGUCCUAGUUUUAACAGUAAACUAUGCCAACUAAAUGACGAAAUUAUAUUUUUUUAAUUUCGGCGUUUCGAACGAAAGUAAAGUCUUUGGGUUCCGGGGGGAGUAUGGUCGCAAGGCUGAAACUUAAAGGAAUUGACGGAAGGGCACCACCAGGAGUGGAGCCUGCGGCUUAAUUUGACUCAACACGGGAAAUCUUACCGGGUCCGGACAUGGAGAGGAUUGACAGAUUGAAAGUUCUUUCAAGAUUUCAUGGGUGGUGGUGCAUGGCCGUUCUUAGUUGGUGGAGUGAUUUGUCUGCUUAAUUGCGUUAACGAACGAGAUCUUCGCCUGUUAAAUAGAUCCUAUAUUUCCCAGUAUGGUAUCUUCUUAGAGGUACUUCGUGCAUAAAGUACGAGGAGGCUGAAGGUAAUAACAGGUCUGUGAUGCCCUUAGAUGUCCUGGGCUGCACGCGCGCUACAAUGUUUUGCAUUGAAUAUGUAACUUAUCAGAAGUGAAAGUUAAUCAAAAAGGCUAAACGUGAUUGGGAUAAACUUUUGUAAUUAUUGGUUUUGAACGAGGAAUUCCUAGUAAGCGUAUAUCAUUAGUAUACGUUGAUUAUGUCCCUGCCCUU